rnacentral:lncRNA from 1 species
CAUUCUGCCAAAACAAUGGAAUUUACACCUAACAUUUGGAAGUGCUUCUACCCACAAAUUACUCUAGAGAAGGAACCCAGCAGAGUGGACAAAGGCCCCUCCUUGGAAUCUGGAAAAACAUGAUCUUCUCUCUGAUACCUCCUGGCUACAUGGCUGUGGUCAAAUUACUUAACCUCUCACUGCUGCAGGGGAAAAGACACUUGAAGAUCAAGGGGAAAAAACUGACCAAGGAUUGAAGACUGAACAUAUUCUCCUGGAGGGUUGUACUGAUCUCAGAAAAUACAAGAUUGUCGUGUGGAAAACAGUGUAAACUAAAGUACUGCAUUAAUGUGACAGGAUUUUUUUUUUUUUUUUUAAAUAUUUGUCCUUUGUCACGGAACAUUCAGUAAAACACUCUGUACCACUGAUCUGGCCAAAAGGAAAUUAUUUUCAGGACAUCAAUAUCCUUUGGACUGGGCACUGAUGCUAUAAUCCACUAUCCACUCCCCCACCCAUCCUGCCUCUUGAAAAGGAAAUAUAU